rnacentral:rRNA from 1 species
UACGGAGGGGGCUAGCGUUGUUCGGAAUUACUGGGCGUAAAGCGCACGUAGGCGGCUUUGUAAGUUAGAGGUGAAAGCCCGGGGCUCAACUCCGGAAUUGCCUUUAAGACUGCAUCGCUAGAAUUGUGGAGAGGUAAGUGGAAUUCCGAGUGUAGAGGUGAAAUUCGUAGAUAUUCGGAAGAACACCCGUGGCUAAGGCGGCUCUCUAGUACGGUACUGACGCUGAGACGCGAAAGCGUGGGGAGCGAACAGG